UAAUACAGAGACUGCAAGCGUUAUUCGGAUUCACUGGGCGUAAAGGGUGCGCAGGCGGUCGGGUGUGUCAGAUGUGAAAUCCCGAGGCUCAACCUCGGAACUGCGUCUGAAACUACUCGACUAGAGUACUGGAGAGGGUAACGGAAUUCACGGUGUAGCAGUGAAAUGCGUAGAUAUCGUGAGGAACACCAGAGGCGAAGGCGGUUACCUGGACAGUUACUGACGCUCAGGCACGAAAGCAUGGGGAGCAAAAGGGAUUAGAUACCCCUGUAGUCCAUGCCCUAAACGGUGCACACUAGGUCUUAGCGGAUUCGACCCCACUAGGGCCCAAGCUAACGCGUUAAGUGUGCCGCCUGAGGACUACGGUCGCAAGACUA
rnacentral:rRNA from 1 species